GAGUUUGAUCCUGGCUCAGAACGAACGCUGGCGGCGUGCUUAACACAUGCAAGUCGAACGUGAUCCAGAGCUUGCUCUGGUGAAAGUGGCGCACGGGUGAGUAACGCGUGGAUAACCUACCCUGGUAUCCGGGAUAACAUUCCGAAAGGGGUGCUAAUACCGGAUAAGCCCACGGGCUCUUUGGAGCUUGCGGGAAAAGGUGGCCUCUAUUUAUAAGCUACUGUAUCAGGAUGGGUCCGCGUACCAUUAGCUAGUUGGCGGUGUAACGGACCACCAAGGCGACGAUGGUUAGCUGGUCUGARAGGAUGAUCAGCCACACUGGAACUGAGACACGGUCCAGACUCCUACGGGAGGCAGCAGUGGGGAAUUUUGCGCAAUGGGGGAAACCCUGACGCAGCAACGCCGCGUGAGUGAUGAAGGCCUUUGGGUCGUAAAGCUCUGUCAGAGGGGAAGAAAUGAUAUAGUGCUAAUACCACUUUAUCUUGACGGUACCCUCAAAGGAAGCACCGGCUAACUCCGUGCCAGCAGCCGCGGUAAUAC
rnacentral:rRNA from 1 species